GACGAACCGUGCGAACGUUGUUCGGAAUCAUUGGGCUUAAAGGGCGCGUAGGCGGGCUUCCGAGUCCGGUGUGAAAUCCUCCGGCUCAACUGGGGAACUGCCCCGGAUACUGGAGGUCUCGAGGGGGGUAGGGGCAUGCGGAACUGCGGGUGGAGCGGUGAAAUGCGUUGAUAUCCGGAGGAACUCCGGUGGCGAAGGCGGCGUGCUGGACCCUUUCUGACGCUGAGGCGCGAAAGCCAGGGGAGCAAACGGG
rnacentral:rRNA from 1 species